rnacentral:rRNA from 1 species
AGCGAACGCUGGCGGCAGGCCUAGCACAUGCAAGUCGAACGAAGUCUUCGGACUUAGUGGCGGACGGGUGAGUAACACGUGGGAACGUGCCUUUAGGUUCGGAAUAACUCAGGGAAACUUGUGCUAAUACCGAAUGUGCCCUUCGGGGGAAAGAUUUAUCGCCUUUAGAGCGGCCCGCGUCUGAUUAGCUAGUUGGCGAGGUAAAGGCUCACCAAGGCUACGAUCAGUAGCUGGUCUGAGAGGAUGACCAGCCACAUUGGGACUGAGACACGGCCCAAACUCCUACGGGAGGCAGCAGUGGGGAAUCUUGCGCAGUGGGCGAAAGCCUGACGCAGCCAUGCCGCGUGGAUGAUGAAGGUCUUAGGAUUGUAAAAUCCUUUCACCGGUGAAGAUAAUGACUGUAGCCGGAGAAGAAGCCCCGGCUAACUUCAUGCCAGCAGCCGCCGUAAAAC